rnacentral:rRNA from 1 species
AACGAACGCUGGCGGCAUGCCUAACACAUGCAAGUCGAACGAGACCUUCGGGUCUAGUGGCGCACGGGUGCGUAACGCGUGGGGACCUGCCCUUAGGUUCGGAAUAACUCCCCGAAAGGGGUGCUAAUACCGGAUAAUGUCUUCGGCCCAAAGAUUUAUCGCCUUUGGAUGGGCCCGCGUUGGAUUAGCUAGUUGGUAGGGUAAAAGCCUACCAAGGCGACGAUCCAUAGCUGGUCUGAGAGGAUGAUCAGCCACACUGGGACUGAGACACGGCCCAGACUCCUACGGGAGGCAGCAGUGGGGAAUAGUGGACAAUGGGCGAAAGCCUGAUCCAGCAAUGCCGCGUGAGUGAUGAAGGCCUUAGGGUUGUAAAGCUCUUUUACCCGGGAUGAUAAUGACAGUACCGGGAGAAUAAGCGCCGGCUAACUCCGUG